UGGAGGCUGAGUCAGGAGAAGCCGGUCGGCUGCCUCGAGCUGUCAACUUGCUGUUCUCUGGCCUCUGGCCUCCAGCUGGAAGGUCGACCUUCUGGGCUGCAGCCUGCACGGCCCCAUGGCCUCGCGUGGAGGUGGCAGGGGAAGCUCCCAGCCCCGCCUGGGCCAUUCAGUGUCAUCGGCCCGCAGGACCCGGGUUGGCCCUGCUCUGGACUUCAGAUUCAAUGCAAAUGUCAAUGAAGGAAAAUAAAAUUACCCUAAUCCCAUCAUUUGGAAAUGGGGCGGAUAGCAUCACACUGGGAUCAUGACAUUUUCACACUGCUGAUUUCCCAGCCCGCAAUCUCGAAGAGCCAGCGAAUAUGGUCAUGAUUACUUCUAGUAGGGAACGAGGUAAAAUCCUCUUACUGUUCUCUUUUGAGUCCAGGUGUAACUUUGCACAUCAAGCCUUCAGGUGCCAGCAUCAAGCGAGAGUUUAUUAACACAACCCAGGAUCACCUUCAUCAUCAUACCCAAGACAAUGUGCAAUCGAAACAUUAUGAACAAUCAUAUGAAUAUUGAUCCAUAAACUGAACAAACGGUUGCAGAUCAAACCCGGCCUCCGUGUGAGGAGCUCCGUCUGGUUUCCAGUGUGGUUGGUUCCUCCUCUAAUUGCGGCAGAGCUGCAUGGGCCCCGGCUUC
rnacentral:lncRNA from 1 species